rnacentral:sRNA from 1 species
CAAAGAAAUCACAUCAGUCCGGGCGUGGUGGUUCAUGCCUGUGAUCCCAGCACUCUGGGAGGCCGAGGCCGGUGGAUCACCUGAGGUCAGGAGUUCGAGACCAGCCUGGUCAACAUGGCGAAAUCCCAUCUCUACUGAAAAUACAAAAAUUAGCCGGGCCUCUUGAUGUAUACCUGUAAUCCCAGCUACUCUGGAGGCUGAGACAAGAGACUCGCUUGAACCCAGGAGGCAGAGGUUGCAGUGAACCAAGAUUGCACCACUGCACUCCAGCCUGGGCGACAGAGUGAGACUCCAUCUCAAAGGAAAAAAAAAGAUGAAAAACCCCACAUCGUCUGUCCCUGCACCUCCCAUAGACUGGCUUUGCUGACUCAGUCUCAUGGGAUUGUUCCCUGAGGCUCAAGAGGUCAGGAGGCCCAGGUGAACGAGGUGGUCUUCAGCCCCGGGGAGUCCCACUGCGCCACAUGCAGUGAGGAUGGGAGUGUGCGGGUGUGGGCCUUGGCCAGCAUGGAGCUUGUGAUCCAGUUCCAGGUGCUGAACCAGAGCUGCCUCUGCCUGGCAUGGAGCCCCCCGUGCUGUGGCCGCCCUGAGCAGCAGCGGCUAGCGGCUGGCUACGGUGACGGCUCCCUGCGCAUCUUCAGCAUCUCCCGCACGGCCAUGGAGCUCAAGAUGCACCCCCACCCGGUGGCGCUGACCAGUGUUGCCUUCUCCACUGACGGUCAGACUGUCCUCUCUGGAGACAAGGAUGGGCUCGUGGCUGUGAGCCACCCCCGCACAGGGACAACCUUCCGUGUGCUGAGUGACCACCAGGGCGCCCCAAUCUCUACCAUCUGUGUCACGUGCAAAGAGUGUGAAGACUUAGGGGUGGAGGGCACAGACCUAUGGCUGGCUGCCAGUGGGGACCAGCGGGUCAGCGUCUGGGCCUCCGACUGGCUGCGGAACCGCUGUGAGCUUGUGGACUGGUUGAGUUUCCCAAUGCCUGCCACCACGGAGGUAAACCAUGCUCCUGGCACUGUGGGUGGGGCCGGUACCCAUCCACCCCACCGCAGCAUGCUGCGCCUUUGCAGACUCAGGGCCACCUGCCACCCUCCCUCGCUGCCUUCUGCCCUUGGGAUGGGGCGCUCCUGAUGUACGUGGGCC